rnacentral:lncRNA from 1 species
CGGGGGGGGCACCGCGCAUCGCCCCGCGGCCGCCGCGGCGGUAGGACAGCGGGCAGCGCUGACAGCGGCUCCGCGGGGCCCGUCCGGCAUCGCGGGGCUCCGCUCCCCCGGCCCGAGCGCGGAGAGCGGCCCCGGGAGCGGCUGAGCCCUGCGGGAACGCAAAGCCGGACGCUCGGCCACCUCCCGGAGCUCGCCCCGGUCCCUGCCCAGAGCCCCGCAGCCCCUUCACCUGCUGCUCUGCGGGGCUGCGAGACAGCGACGGGAGAACGCAGCCUCCGGCCCAGCUGCGCCCCACAGCCGCGGGGCAGGAGUUUGGUGCUGCGCGGAUCGCCACCCCGGGCAGAACGGCUGAUUUGCCCCCAGCUGCCCGUCGCUCCGGGGGUCCCGGGGGCGGCCCCCCGCAGGUCUGCGCUCGGCCCCCUACGGCCGCCGCUCUGGGUCGGGGGCACCGAGCGGCACCAUCGGUGCGCUCCCGUCCCGAGGGCACCGAGCCGGCACCGGAGCGGGGCGGUGGCACCGGGCAGCGACGGGCAGCGGGGCACCCGAGGCGGCAAGCGGGGGCUCCCGGAGCAGAGCGGGCACGGGACUCCCCGCGCAUCUCCCCCCGCGUUCCGCAUCCCCCCGCGCCCCGGCUCACCGGCAGGACACGGAGAGCUCCACCUUGGUGCCCGGCACGCUGCCGGCCGCUUCCAGCGCUCCCGGAGCCGCCAUCCCCGCGCGGGCGCCGCCGCUGCUCCGCGCCGCCUCCUCCCGCACCGCCGAAGCGGGCGCGCCCGGGGGCGGGCACGGGCACGGCGGCCCCGGCGGCGGCACCGCCCCGGUAACGGGGCUGCUCAGAGCCGGGUACCGACACGCGGUGCUGCCGGGACGCCGUCCGGCUCGGCUCCGUUCGCGGGCCGGGCUGUGCCCCGAUGGCCGCUCGAUGCCGGCUCCCGUCCCGUCGGGGCUCCCUCCCGGAGCAGCUCCCGGUCCCGACGCGCUGCUAUUUCGGUGCCGCCGCUCCCGGAGCGUGGGCCGCGCUAUUUAUAG